CUAAACCUCCAUAUGACCCCCAAACCUCCAUAUGACCCCUAACCUCCAUAUGACCCCUAACCCCCAUAUGACCGCUAACCUCCAUAUGACCCCUAACCUCCAUAUGACCCCUAACCUCCAUAUGACCCCUAACCUCCAUAUGACCCCUAACCUCCAUAUGACCCUGUUAUCAAUGUUAGUAGUGAUGAUUAAUCUAAAGCUGACCAGGUUUCAAGAGAAAAACUUCUGCCAACAAACUCUGGGCUUUGGCUGAGUUCAGUUCUGUUCAGUCCAGUGUGGCUUCAGUACAGCUGCCCUGUGUAGGGGGGAGGGGGACAGAGGUGUCUAGUCCCUAUGGUGGAGGGAGGAUGGAGGGCAGAGGGGACAGAGGUGUGUCUAGUCCCUACGGUGGAGGGAGGAUGGAGGGCAGAGGGGACAGAGGUGUGUCUAGUCCCUACGGUGGAGGGAGGAUGGAGGGCAGAGGGGACAGAGGUGUGUCUAGUCCCUGGAGGGGAGGAUGGAGGGCAGAGGGGACAGAGGUGUGUCUAGUCCCUACAGUGGAGGGAGGGGGAUGGAGGGCAGAGGGAACAGAGGUGUGUCUAGUCCCUACGGUGGAGGGAGGAUGGAGGGCAGAGGGGACAGAGGUGUGUCUAGUCCCUACAGUGGAGGGAGGAUGGAGGGCAGAGGGGACAGAGGUGUGUCUAGUCCCUACGGUGGAGGGAGGAUGGAGGGCAGAGGGGACAGAGGUGUGUCUAGUCCCUACAGUGGAGGGAGGAUGGAGGGCAGAGGGGACAGAGGUGUGUCUAGUCCCUACGGUGGAGGGAGGAUGGAGGGCAGAGGGGACAGAGGUGUGUCUAGUCCCUACAGUGGAGGGAGGAUGGAGGGCAGAGGGGACAGAGGGGUGUCUAGUCCCUACGGUGGAGGGAGGAUGGAGGGCAGAGGGAACAGAGGUGUGUCUAGUCCCUACGGUGGAGGGAGGAUGGAGGGCAGAGGGAACAGAGGUGUGUCUAGUCCCUACAGUGGAGGGAGGAUGGGAUGGAGGGCAGAGAGAACAGAGGUGUGUCUAGUCCCUACGGUGGAGGGAGGAUGGAGGGCAGAGGGGACAGAGGUGUGUCUAGUCCCUACAGUGGAGGGAGGAUGGAGGGCAGAGGGAACAGAGGUGUGUCUAGUCCCUACGGUGGAGGGAGGAUGGGAUGGAGGGCAGAGGGGACAGAGGUGUGUCUAGUCCCUACGGUGGGGGAGGAUGGAGGGCAGAGGGGACAGAGGUGUGUCUAGUCCCUACGGUGGAGGGAGGAUGGGAUGGAGGGCAGAGGGGACAGAGGUGUGUCUAGUCCCUACAGUGGAGGGAGGAUGGAGGGCAGAGGGGACAGAGGUGUGUCUAGUCCCUACGGUGGAGGGAGGAUGGAGGGCAGAGGGAACAGAGGAGUGUCUAGUCCCUACAGUGGAAGGAGGAUGGGAUGGAGGGCAGAAGCCGGGAAGUGGUUCCUCCCCGUCAGGCUUUCCCUUCCCAGGCGUCGUCUCUCUGUUUAGCUGCCAGACGCUUCUGCUCUGAAAGACAGACAGACAGGUUGAUAAGAGAGUAAAUCAAUACUACUACUAGCUGUCAAUACAAUCAUAAAGACAAAGACUAGUUCCACUUGAAAGGAGCAACAUGUAAUAUAUCAGCCUUCAUUUCUUCAGGGUUUUGUGAAAGACACUAAGAGAAGUCCUGAAAGGCCCAGUACUGCCUCUGACCGUAUCACUGUCCAGAACACAUCUGUAGAAAGGACAUGAAGAAACGCAUUGCUAAUGUUUUU
ensembl:lncRNA